GGCCGAUGAUGUUAGAAAAUAUUUGCUACUCUUGAUGGGCAGCACCCAUCUGAUGAUUGUAUUCCACCAAGAUCUCUGAGGCC